rnacentral:rRNA from 1 species
CACACCGCCCGUCACACCAUGGGAGUGGGUUUCACCAGUAAGUAGUUAGCCUAACCGCAAGGAGGGCGACUAACCACGGUGAGACUUCAUGACUGGGGUG